AGAGUUUGAUCCUGGCUCAGGAUGAACGCUAGCGACAGGCUUAACACAUGCAAGUCGAGGGGCAGCACGGGGUAGCAAUACCCCGGUGGCGACCGGCGCACGGGUGAGUAACACGUGUGCAACCAACCCCGUACCGGGAGAUAACCCGCGGAAACGUGGACUAACACCCCAUAAGACCUUUCCCCCGCAUGGGGGGGAGUUUAAAACCCCGGUGGUACGGGACGGGCACGCGCGACAUUAGGUAGUUGGCGGGGUAACGGCCCACCAAGCCGACGAUGUCUAGGGGUUCUGAGAGGAAGGUCCCCCACACUGGAACUGAGACACGGUCCAGACUCCUACGGGAGGCAGCAGUGAGGAAUAUUGGUCAAUGGGCGAGAGCCUGAACCAGCCAAGUCGCGUGAGGGAAGAAUGGUCUAUGGCCUGUAAACCUCUUUUGUCAAGGAAGAAUAAGCGGCACGAGUGCCACCUUGCCAGUACUUGACGAAUAAGCAUCGGCUAACUCCGUGCCAGCAGCCGCGGUAAUACGGGGGAUGCGAGCGUUAUCCGGAUUUAUUGGGUUUAAAGGGCGCGUAGGCGGGACGGCAAGUCAGCGGUAAAAGACUGCAGCUAAACUGUAGCACGCCGUUGAAACUGUCGACCUGGAGACGAGACGAGGGAGGCGGAACAAGUGAAGUAGCGGUGAAAUGCAUAGAUAUCACUUGGAACCCCGAUAGCGAAGGCAGCUUCCCAGGCUCGGUCUGACGCUGAUGCGCGAGAGCGUGGGUAGCGAACAGGAUUAGAUACCCUGGUAGUCCACGCCGUAAACGAUGCUCACUGGUUCUGUGCGAUAUAUUGUACGGGAUUAAGCGAAAGUAUUAAGUGAGCCACCUGGGGAGUACGUCGGCAACGAUGAAACUCAAAGGAAUUGACGGGGGCCCGCACAAGCGGAGGAACAUGUG
rnacentral:rRNA from 1 species